rnacentral:rRNA from 1 species
AUUGAACGCUGGCGGCAUGCCUUACACAUGCAAGUCGAACGGUAACAGGUCUUCGGACGCUGACGAGUGGCGAACGGGUGAGUAAUACAUCGGAACGUGCCCAGUCGUGGGGGAUAACUACUCGAAAGAGUAGCUAAUACCGCAUACGAUCUGAGGAUGAAAGCGGGGGACCUUCGGGCCUCGCGCGAUUGGAGCGGCCGAUGGCAGAUUAGGUAGUUGGUGGGAUAAAAAGCUUACCAAGCCGACGAUCUGUAGCUGGUCUGAGAGGACGACCAGCCUCACUGGGACUGAGACACGGCCCAGACUCCUGCGGGAGGCAGCAGUGGGGAAUUUUGGACAAUGGGCGAAAGCCUGAUCCAGCAAUGCCGCGUGCAGGAUGAAGGCCUUCGGGUUGUAAACUGCUUUUAUACGGAACGAAAAAGCUUCUCCUAAUACGAGAGGCCCAUGACGGUACCGUAAGAAUAAGCACCGGCUAACUACGUG